GUAGCAUGACGUCAUCGGUCGCCUAGGCUAGUCGCUCCGUUGCUCUGCUCAUUUGGGUGAAAUCGGCGCUUGCAAUAAAAAUUGAGGUGUCAAUUAGUGAAACUUCAAGAUGGUUGACAUGGAGGUGACAUCUCAGGAACUAGUGAAUGUGGCAAGCAACAACGACAUAUCUACCGAUUGGCAAAAGCUUGCUUCCAUUCUUGACUCCAAGAUGUUUACUGGUGGAACAAUUAAACUAAUCAAGAAGCAGAACGGAGAUGACAUAUUCAUGCAAACCAAAUCGAUGCUGGAAAAAUGGCACAGCAGCCACGCCAGUUCUGCCACUCGCCGGAAACUGAUUAAGGCAAUAGUUGAUUGCGGUUACAAGAAAGAGGCUGUAGCAAUAUUUGGAAGUCUAGUAGAGCUUGUUUAGUGGAGUCUUUCUAUAGAUGUGUUUUACUUCACCUAAAGGAAGACUACACUCUAGACGGCUGUGUGAAUCAAUGCUGCUGCAUGUUUAUACUCUUUCGCAUGUAUUUGUAUUUGUAGAUGACGUCUGUUAUUAAUUAACUAGAAGACUUGAAGCGUUGACAUGAUGAGUUUGUGUAUGUAAAUUUAGUAUGUCUUUUGAUUGCGCAUGUAAGCCGUAGUGAUCAAUUUCAACAAGUCCUUCUAUGUGUGGCACUUAUCCUCGAGACGCAUUUCUAUAUAUUUUUAUAUUUGUUGUUGUGAAUCCUGGUCAGUGACGUCUGCGCACAUUCAACGUCAUUAUUACGUCAACUUUCUUCGUGUUCCUGCUCAUUUAAGUGAAAUUACCACAAACUCAAAAUCGUUUAGUUAGUUUGAGCAAGACUGGCGAUGUGUGCAGAUGAAAGAGUAACUCUUGAUGAUUUGAAAAAAGUGGAAGACUACAGCAUAAUACGUGCCGAGUGGAAAGAGCUUGCUUCCACUCUUGAGCCUGAUAUGUUCGAUGUUGGAGCAAUUGACGUGAUCGUGCAGAAGUAUCCAAACGAUCCUUUCAUGCAGACUAAAUCCAUGCUGGAACAAUGGCGUGACAGUGAGUCUAUGGCAGCCACGCGCAGAAAUCUGAUCAAGGCUCUAGUUAGUUGCGGUUGGAGGAGAGAAGCUGAAGAAAUAUUUGAAGUGGCAUUAGUAAAGCAAGUCGUAGGGAGUUGAGGCUACUGGUGUGCAUCACUUUACAUGUUGCUCCUAGAGAAAAACAGCGGACAUCGUGAACACUAUAAUUAGUGCAUUUGCUUACGUUUUGGCUACAAACUAUUUCUAGACGUCAUUGAGUCAGCUUCUAAAAUAAUACGAAAGUACUAAAAUUAUGA